AGAUAAGUGCAACACUGCAGAAACCAAAAUGCUGAGCAUCAGCACCAUAGCACUGGGGACAGCUCCCAGAAUCAGAAGUCACGCUGAAUUUAUAACUGUAUUCUCCCACAGUAGACAACACCGUUCCUACUUUUCUAAGAGCAAUAGGAACUGCACAACAGAGUAAAACAAGGCCAAAGGGACAAUGACAGAAAAAUGACUAGCUGUGCAGGUACAUCAUUUCAGGCACCUGGAGCAGCCGAUGGAGAGAGCCCACUGCACAGGCAUUAGUCAGACAUGCCUUUGGAAAUCAACUCACAGCAUCACUUUCUUGUCAAAAUAUAGCUGAGCCUCUCAUUGUCACUCUCUCUAUCUCUCGGGUUUCCUGCCAUCAGCCAG